GGUAUCAGAAGUGCGAAUGCUGACAUAAGUAACGAUAAAGCGGGUGAAAAGCCCGCUCGCCGGAAGACCAAGGGUUCCUGUCCAACGUUAAUCGGGGCAGGGUGAGUCGACCCCUAAGGCGAGGCCGAAAGGCGUAGUCGAUGGGAAACGGGUUAAUAUUCCCGUACUUGGUGUUACUGCGAAGGGGGGACGGAGAAGGCUAUGUUGGCCGGGCGACGGUUGUCCCGGUUUAAGCGUGUAGGUGUGUGUUCCAGGUAAAUCCGGUUCACUUUAACACUGAGGCGUGAUGACGAGGCACUACGGUGCUGAAGCAACAAAUGCCCUGCUUCCAGGAAAAGCCUCUAAGCAUCAGGUAACAUCAAAUCGUACCCCAAACCGACACAGGUGGUCAGGUAGAGAAUACCAAGGCGCUUGAGAGAACUCGGGUGAAGGAACUAGGCAAAAUGGUGCCGUAACUUCGGGAGAAGGCACGCUGACACGUAGGUGAAGUGAUUUACUCACGGAGCUGAAGUCAGUCGAAGAUACCAGCUGGCUGCAACUGUUUAUUAAAAACACAGCACUGUGCAAACACGAAAGUGGACGUAUACGGUGUGACGCCUGCCCGGUGCCGGAAGGUUAAUUGAUGGGGUCAGCGCAAGCGAAGCUCCUGAUCGAAGCCCCGGUAAACGGCGGCCGUAACUAUAACGGUCCUAAGGUAGCGAAAUUCCUUGUCGGGUAAGUUCCGACCUGCACGAAUGGCGUAAUGAUGGCCAGGCUGUCUCCACCCGAGACUCAGUGAAAUUGAACUCGCUGUGAAGAUGCAGUGUACCCGCGGCAAGACGGAAAGACCCCGUGAACCUUUACUAUAGCUUGACACUGAACAUUGAGCCUUGAUGUGUAGGAUAGGUGGGAGGCUUUGAAGCGUGGACGCCAGUCUGCGUGGAGCCGACCUUGAAAUACCACCCUUUAAUGUUUGAUGUUCUAACGUGGACCCGUGAUCCGGGUUGCGGACAGUGUCUGGUGGGUAGUUUGACUGGGGCGGUCUCCUCCUAAAGAGUAACGGAGGAGCACGAAGGUUGGCUAAUCCUGGUCGGACAUCAGGAGGUUAGUGCAAUGGCAUAAGCCAGCUUGACUGCGAGCGUGACGGCGCGAGCAGGUGCGAAAGCAGGUCAUAGUGAUCCGGUGGUUCUGAAUGGAAGGGCCAUCGCUCAACGGAUAAAAGGUACUCCGGGGAUAACAGGCUGAUACCGCCCAAGAGUUCAUAUCGACGGCGGUGUUUGGCACCUCGAUGUCGGCUCAUCACAUCCUGGGGCUGAAGUAGGUCCCAAGGGUAUGGCUGUUCGCCAUUUAAAGUGGUACGCGAGCUGGGUUUAGAACGUCGUGAGACAGUUCGGUCCCUAUCUGCCGUGGGCGCUGGAGAACUGAGGGGGGCUGCUCCUAGUACGAGAGGACCGGAGUGGACGCAUCACUGGUGUUCGGGUUGUCAUGCCAAUGGCACUGCCCGGUAGCUAAAUGCGGAAGAGAUAAGUGCUGAAAGCAUCUAAGCACGAAACUUGCCCCGAGAUGAGUUCU
rnacentral:rRNA from 1 species